rnacentral:rRNA from 1 species
GCAGUGGGUACGGGCAGACUAGAGUGCAGUAGGGGAGACUGGAAUUCCUGGUGUAGCGGUGAAAUGCGCAGAUAUCAGGAGGAACACCGAUGGCGAAGGCAGGUCUCUGGGCUGUAACUGACGCUGAGGAGCGAAAGCAUGGGGAGCGAACAGGAUUAGAUACCCUGGUAGUCCAUGCCGUAAACGUUGGGCACUAGGUGUGGGGGACAUUCCACGUUUUCCGCGCCGUAGCUAACGCAUUAAGUGCCCCGCCUGGGGAGUACGGCCGCAAGGCUAAAACUCAAAGGAAUUGACGGGGGCCCGCACAAGCGGCGGAGCAUGCGGAUUAAUUCGAUGCAACGCGAAGAACCUUACCAAGGCUUGACAUGAACCGGAAAGACCUGGAAACAGGUGCCCCGCUUGCGGUCGGUUUACAGGUGGUGCAUGGUUGUCGUCAGCUCGUGUCGUGAGAUGUUGGGUUAAGUCCCGCAACGAGCGCAACCCUCGUUCUAUGUUGCCAGCGGUUCGGCCGGGGACUCAUAGGAGACUGCCGGGGUCAACUCGGAGGAAGGUGGGGACGACGUCAAAUCAUCAUGCCCCUUAUGUCUUGGGCUUCACGCAUGCUACAAUGGCCGGUACAAAGGGUUGCGAUACUGUGAGGUGGAGCUAAUCCCAAAAAGCCGGUCUCAGUUCGGAUUGGGGUCUGCAACUCGACCCCAUGAAGUCGGAGUCGCUAGUAAUCGCAGAUCAGCAACGCUGCGGUGAAUACGUUCCCGGGCCUUGUACACACCGCCCGUCAAGUCACGAAAGUUGGUAACACCCGAAGCCGGUGGCCUAACCCUGGGGGGAGCCUCGAGGUGACGCUGCUCC